rnacentral:lncRNA from 1 species
CAGACUGCAUCAUGUAAAAAUUGCCAUUUUCCUCUAUCUCUGCAGGGCAAUCUUUAAAGGCAGUAAGGUGUGACGCUCCAGACUGGCAGCUUGGCAAGAAAGAGCCCAUGGAUACCAACACACAGGAAUCUGGAGGGUUCACUCUGACAGGCAAUUUCCUGCUUGAGCAAGUGCUUUCUGAGCAGCCCUGGCAAUGGGAUGGGAAAAAAGGUGUUGCCCUUGCCUGUAAGCAAGAGAAGGAAAAAGCAGUUGCUUGAAGCGUUCUGGAGAAGUACAUCUUGAGGAGAUCACAAGGAGAAAUUUUAAUAAUUAAGGAAUAAGGAAUCUAUCUAUAGUGUAAUAUUUGUUGGUGGGAUCAAGAAGAAAAUAUGGUAUAUAAAACAGAAGACAAAGAACAUGAAGACAUUCUAGUACCAUGCAUGAAGUUUAUUUGAAUUGCAGAGAGAUCCAGAUCUAGCUGCUUAUCUGAAUAAAUCUUCUGAAGCAUCUCA